rnacentral:rRNA from 1 species
CGGGUAGAGUAACACGUAAACAACCUGCCUUCAGGAUGGGGACAACAGACGGAAACGACUGCUAAUACCGAAUAAGUUCCAAGAGCCGCAUGGCCCAUGGAAGAAAAGGUGGCCUCUACCUGUAAGCUAUCGCCUGAAGAGGGGUUUGCGUCUGAUUAGCUGGUUGGAGGGGUAACGGCCCACCAAGGCGACGAUCAAUAGCCGACCUGAGAGGGUGACCGGCCACAUUGGGACUGAGACACGGCCCAAACUCCUACGGGAGACAGCAUG